GCCGGUUUAGCUCAGUAGGGAGAGCGCCUGCCCUGUAAGCAGGAUGCGUCGGUUCGAGGCCGGCAACCGGCUCCA
rnacentral:tRNA from 1 species